rnacentral:siRNA from 1 species
GACAAGUUGUGUGUGUGAGAGAUA